GGUAAACGCUGGCGGCGUGCAUUAGGCAUGCAAGUGGAACGGGUCCGAUUUAUCGGACCAGUCGCGAACGGCUGAGUAACGCGUAAGGACUUACCUCUUGGUGCGGAAUACCUCAUGGAAACGUGGGUUAAUACUGCAUAAGAUCUCACGAUGAAAGGGCAUAACUGCUCGCCGAGAGAGAGACUUGCGUACCAUCAGUUUGUUGGUAGGGUAACGGCCUACCAAGACUACGACGGUUAGGGGACGUGAGAGCGUGAACCCCCAGAAUGGGACUGAGACACGGCCCAUACACCUACGGGUGGCAGCAACCGGGAAUCGUGCGCAAUGGGCGAAAGCCUGACGCCGCGACGCCGCGUGGAGGAUGAAGGCUUUCGGGUCGUAAACUCCUUUUGGUGAAGUCGAGAGACUUCGCAGAAUAAGCACCCGCUAACUACGUGCCAGCAGCUGCGGUAAUACGUAGGGUGCAAGCGUUACCCGGAUUUAUUGGGCGUAAAGAGUUCGUAGGCGAUUUAGUAAGUCACUCUUUAAAUAUCCUGGCUUAACCAGGAGACGGGGAGUGAUACUGCUAGAAUUGAGAUACUUAGGGGCUACUGGAACUGUUGGUGUAGGGGUGAAAUCCGUUGAUAUCAAUAGGAACUCCGAGGGCGAAGGCAGGUAGCUGGGAGUAUUCUGACGCUGAGGAACGAAAGCUAGGGGAGCGAAAGGGAUUAGAGACCCCUGUAGUCCUAGCCGUAAACGAUGCUCGCUAGCCUCUUGCUGUUCACCAUUUAAACUAAUUAAAUUGUGAACAGUGGGAGGCGUAAGCUAACGCGUGAAGCGAGCCGCCUGGGGAGUACGAGCGCAAGCUUAAAACUCAAAGGAAUUGACGGGGACCCGCACAACCAGUGGAGCAUGUGGUUUAAUUCGAGACGAACCGAAGAACCUUACCUGGAUUUGACAUCCUGAUGACCGCUUUAGAGAUAGAGUUUUUGUAUUUAUUUACGACAUCAGUGACAGGUGCUGCAUGGCUAUCGUCAGCUCGUGCCGUGGGGUGUUCCCUUAAGUGGGGUAACGAGCGCAACCCUUGCCGUAUGUUGCAUUUCAUACGGGACUAUCACGCUUUGCGUGGAGGAAGCGGGGACGACGUUAAGUCAGCAUGGCCCUUAUAUCCAGGGCGACACACAUGCUACAAUGAGGCCGACAAUGGGUUGCCAACCGGUGACGGGGAGCUAAUCUCAUCAAACGGCCUCUCAGUGGGGAUUGAAGUCUGCAAUUCGACUUCAUGAACGAGGAAUUGGUAGUAAUCGCGGAUCAGCCAAGCCGCGGUGAAUACGUUCUCGGGUCUUGUACACACCGCCCGUCAAGUCAGUGAAGUUGGAGGCACCCGAACAUCGCAUGUUGCGGUGGAAGGUGAAGCCAGCGACAAGGAUU
rnacentral:rRNA from 1 species